UUCAUAGAUACCUCGGCUCUCCACAUGAACUAAGUUUCCCUGAGACCUGAGAACAGGACUGAAGAGAGGAUUUGAGAGCCACGUGGAAGGGACAGAGAGGGCAGGAGAGGCAUACAUAGCCUCCCAGCGCACCGCGUACACACAGGUCCGCUUUGGAAAUGGGAGGAUGUGGGGAGAGGCAGCGAGGGCCCACGGACUGAGACAAAGGACCCUCAGUAAGGCGAAGCUCCAAAGGACAUGCCUUUCACAUUCUACUGGGGAGGGUACUUGGCGAUGAUGGGGGCGCAGCGUAGUGCGUACACCAGAGUCUAGGUCUGAACUGUGGGGAAUCACCACCAUGUCUUCACUCAUCCCUGUAUUGCAAGAAACUCGGCCGGGCCUUUUACACGGUUCUGCUUCUUGCGCCUUUGAUUACUACAGCAAAGGCUCCAAUAGCGCCUUCCUUAAGGUGAGGAAGAUGAGUUUGCAAAAGAAGUAGCCCCCUCCUUUAAAAAAAAAGGGGGGGUGGGUGGGGAGGAGGGUUCUGCUUCUCUUGACCUGGGGCUGGUUUUCCCUGCCUUUGAGAACUGCAGACCUGGCUCUUAGUCUGGAGACUGUGCCUCAGCUCCAGAGUGUGACCUAAUCCCAUCGCCCACAUCCCCAGUCUCUUCAUCUGCCAUACAAGAGGGCUGCAGGAUUCGACGCCAUAUGGCCUUUAAGGGCCGCGUCAUCGUGGAUGCUGCCCUGCGAAUCUGGCAGCAGGACUCAUUUCAAAACCAUGACCAAUCAGCUAUUAAGAUUUACAGUUGUGGGGUGCCUGGGUGGCUCAGUAGGUUAAGUGUCCGACUUCGGCCCAGGUCAUGAUCUCACAGUUCAUGAGUUCGAGCCCCGCAUCGGGCUCUGUGCUGGCAGCUCAGAGCCUGGAGCCUACUUCAGAUUCUGUAUCUCCGUCUCUCUCUGCCCCUUCCCCACUCAUGCUCUGUCUCUCUGUGUCUCUCAAAAAUGAAUAAACGUUAAAAAAAAAUUAAAGAAAAAAGAUUU
rnacentral:lncRNA from 1 species